UGCAGUCGAGCGGAUGAGUGGAGCUUGCUCCAUGAUUCAGCGCGGGACGGGUGAGUAAUGCCUAGGAAUCUGCCUGGUAGUGGGGGACAACGUUUCGAAAGGAACGCUAAUACCGCAUACGUCCUACGGGAGAAAGCAGGGGACCUUCGGGCCUUGCGCUAUCAGAUGAGCCUAGGUCGGAUUAGCUAGUUGGUGAGGUAAAGGCUCACCAAGGCGACGAUCCGUAACUGGUCUGAGAGGAUGAUCAGUCACACUGGAACUGAGACACGGUCCAGACUCCUACGGGAGGCAGCAGUGGGGAAUAUUGGACAAUGGGCGAAAGCCUGAUCCAGCCAUGCCGCGUGUGUGAAGAAGGUCUUCGGAUUGUAAAGCACUUUAAGUUGGGAGGAAGGGCAGUAAGCUAAUACCUUGCUGUUUUGACGUUACCGACAGAAUAAGCACCGGCUAACUUCGUGCCAGCAGCCGCGGUAAUACGAAGGGUGCAAGCGUUAAUCGGAAUUACUGGGCGUAAAGCGCGCGUAGGUGGUUCAGCAAGUUGGAUGUGAAAGCCCCGGGCUCAACCUGGGAACUGCAUCCAA
rnacentral:rRNA from 1 species